rnacentral:rRNA from 1 species
UACGUAGGUGGCAAGCGUUGUCCGGAAUUAUUGGGCGUAAAGCGCGCGCAGGCGGUUUCUUAAGUCUGAUGUGAAAGCCCACGGCUCAACCGUGGAGGGUCAUUGGAAACUGGGAAACUUGAGUGCAGAAGAGAAGAGCGGAAUUCCACGUGUAGCGGUGAAAUGCGUAGAGAUGUGGGGGAACACCAGUGGCGAAGGCGGCUCUUUGGUCUGUAACCGACGCUCAGGCACGAAAGCGUGGGGAUCAAACAGG